AUUGAACGCUGGCGGCAGGCCUAACACAUGCAAGUCGAACGAGUGGCGGACGGGUGAGUAAUGUCUGGGAAACUGCCUGAUGGAGGGGGAUAACUACUGGAAACGGUAGCUAAUACCGCAUACCAUCAGAUGUGCCCAGAUGGGAUUAGCUAGUUGGUGGGGUAACGGCUCACCAAGGCGACGAUCCCUAGCUGGUCUGAGAGGAUGACCAGCCACACUGGAACUGAGACACGGUCAAGACUCCUACGGGAGGCAAGAGUGGAGAAUAUUGGACAAUGGGCCAAAGCCUGAUGCAGCAAAGCCGCGUGUAUGAAGUAGGUCUUCGGAUUGUAAAGCACUUUAAGUUGGGAGGCGUUACCAACAGAAUAAGCACCGGCUAACUUAGUGCCAGCAGCCGCGGUAAUAC
rnacentral:rRNA from 1 species